GUGGGGAAUAUUGCACAAUGGGCGCAAGCCUGAUGCAGCAACGCCGCGUGAGGGAUGACGGCCUUCGGGUUGUAAACCUCUUUUAGUAGGGAAGAAGCGUAAGUGACGGUACCUGCAGAAAAAGCACCGGCUAACUACGUGCCAGCAGCCGCGGUAAUACGUAGGGUGCAAGCGUUGUCCGGAAUUAUUGGGCGUAAAGAGCUCGUAGGCGGUUUGUCGCGUCUGCUGUGAAAACCCGAGGCUCAACCUCGGGCCUGCAGUGGGUACGGGCAGACUAGAGUGCGGUAGGGGAGAUUGGAAUUCCUGGUGUAGCGGUGGAAUACGCAAAUAUCAGGAGGAACACCGAUGGCGAAGGCAGAUCUCUGGGCCGUAACUGACGCUGAGGAGCGAAAGCGUGGGGAGCGAACAGGAUUAGAUACCCGUGUAGUCC
rnacentral:rRNA from 1 species